UGAGGGUACAAUAAUCAUUCCAAGUCUGUGAGGAACUAACCACAAAACAAAACCAAACCACAAAAACUGUCCGAGUCAAAAGAAAAAAAAAUUAGAGACCAACCAUACAAAUUACCCCGAAACACAGAGACCAUUCGUGUAAUUUACCAUAAAUCAAAUACGGCUAGACAUCUGUUAGAAUUCAGACCAGCAUGUCCAAAUGUUAAUCUUACAUAAUAUCAAAUUGAACAACAAGAAAGAAGGUAGAUGCAACACAUUAAAAUGGAUACUACACAUAAACCUAAUUAAGAAACAUUGCAUCAUACUUGAAGUCUCUCCAUUUCAAUUUUGUCCCCCCAUCAUCCACCAUCUCAUGCUUUGGCAGGUGCUACCCAAACAAGACUGUCCACAUACUCCAUGAUGUUUUGUACAUCAUAAUCUUCAGGACAAUAACCCUCCAACCUUAUCUGCUCAUUCGUAUUUGGAUUGUACAAGACAAGGUGCCCAUCAUCCACAAUGAGAAACUCAUUGUGUGAUGUGAAUCCAAAUAGACAUGCACCAACAUCAAACUGUGAAAAGACAUGGCGCUUGACCCAUGAUUCGGCCACCCCAUACUUAUCCAUCACCCACACAUCACAUGUGCCAUCAACCCCAACAUGUGUCAUCACACAUAGCUUUUUGGCCAAAACUCCUAAAACAAUCUCACGGUCAUCAUUUAGUAUAGAAUCUGGAAGAGGUAUCUCACGGAAUGUCUCUGAACCCAAAUCAAAUGCCACUAUCAUUUUUAAAUCAGUAUUCUCGAUAAUAUAAUCAUAACCAAGCCAAUGUAGACAACCGUCAUGGCCAUCAACACAAACAUCAUCACCAUUGGUAAUGGUUGUGAUGUGAGAGGGAAACCUUGCGGUGAUCAACUUCCAGGAACCUUUUCUCAUACUAUAAAUCUCAACUUGCAGCCACCAUGUAACGACAUUUUCAUACGGUCCAUUAAGGCCUGUGAGCUUGACAACUUUGUAAUCAUUUGAUUUAGGAUCAAACCCAAACCGGAAAUGGAUUUUGAACGAAUUGUAACCAUUGGAGGGGGUGGAGUAUGGCGGGAGAGUUAACACGGCGGAGAGAGAAGGGUUCCAAAUGUGAAUCACAGAAUGAUUAUCGUAAGAAGAGCAUAUUAAGCCGUUAACAGAACCAAUAACCCUGAUGCCAUCUGUAUGUCCAGAUUGGGGUUUAACCGGGAAUUUGAUGAAAUUAGUGAGCUCAAGACGGGGAGAUCGACUCGGUAUUGCUGUGAAUGGUUUGGUGUCGGAAUAAAAUUCUUCAUCUUGGAAGAUCAAUAGAAUUUGAUCGUUGUUAUGGAUGGAAUGAUGGAGGUGGGAUUUUACAAAAGAGGGAUGAGACAGAAAAGCAUUCCAUGAUUUGGAGACAGAUCUCAUUUGAGCAAGUUGUUUGGCAAAUAAACGGAUAAAUAUAUUUGAUAAAAGCUCAUGUGGGAGGUUCUCCAUAGUCGCCGGUUGUUGUGGUGAAGUUGUUGAUGUGAUUGGAUUUGGAAGGCCUGUCCCAUUAUUACUAAUAAACUUUGAAUCUUGAGCAAUCUCUUCUUCAAGAAGCUGUAGACAAUACAUUGCACUUGAAAAUACGGUAAGGAAUUGUUUUGCUUAAAGAUGAGCAGGAAAAUAUCACUCACUCUUGAACUGACAACAGAAGCAUGGAAGUUAUCCCUCUCAUCUCCAUGUUUGGGUCUUUUCAUUGAUCCACUUGUUGGUGAUGCUUCAAGCCUUAAAAGAGGAGUUGGUGACUCCUCAAUGGUUCUUGAAUGCAACAACAAUAUCAAGCGCUGGGUUACAGACCUGUAGAAGCAAUAUAUAUAACACGUCAGCAGUUGNAGAACAAUUCCAUAUAAAAUGAAAAGCAAUACCAUUUCUGUCCACUUUAACAAAUUUUCUGCUCUUCUUUUUAAAUUAAAUUGGCAAGGAAUAUCAAUUUAGAAACACUGCCAAGUUUAGUAGAUGAUUGAUGUACGCACCGCUUUUAAUGGCUCAAAAGCAAGUUUUUGGCAUGUAUGUUGUCAUGUGAAAACGUAUUGCAGCUUAUUGAAAAAUGAGUACACACCUCAAGUUUACAAAUGCAAUAUGAAGUAAUAGCAGUGUAGGACUGUAGUAAAAGAAAGACAAACCUAGUAAAGGUCAUCUGUUUCAACAUUUGUUCAAGCUCUGAUAUCUCACUGUCAGAAGAAAUGCUAGCAAAAUUCCCAACAUGAUGGGUGCAUAUUUCUGAUGCUCCAGUUGAAUUCUUCAUUUCAGGAAACCAAAAGUGCGCUGAGGUUAGAGAAUGGUUACAGAGAAAAUGGUAGGAUAAAGCAUUGAGACGAGUACACAUUAUUAAGCAACGUACUUGUAAACGAAGUAUUACAACCAACAAUUAAACAUUCCCCUCCAUUGACUUUUGAUACAAGUAUGGAAAAAGGUAUCAACAGAUUAAUAGACGAGGUUUAGUAAAUAAGUUGUUGCCAACAACAUAACAAGUUUUUAGCCACAUAUUCUAGAUGAACUUAUUGUCAAUAUUUUAUCACUUUAUGAGCAGUUCCAGUGAUAAAAACACUCGCAACUCACAAGAAAUAAUAAAUAAUGUUUGUUCAUGGCUUCUAGUAAAGGGCAUCCAAGUUGAACUAAUAAGAGGACACCACUUGGUAUUAGAUAUAAUAUAAAGAAAGUACGAUCAAACAGCAACACAAGUCAUGAAGAAAUAUCAUAAAACCAAAAAAAAAUGCCCACUUAAACUACAAUUAGCAAAAUUCAAGAGAGAACUUGAUUUAAAAUUAAUAUGUGAAAAAUAAAUGAACUUUAAAAACUUGCAAUUAAGUAAAACAUUAAAAUGCUAUUAGCAUUAAGUAAUGACACUAUUAUAUAACAUUCUAAAUUUCUAAUAUGUUAAGCACACAAUUAAAAUAAUUCAGAAUGUACGCACAAGAAACAUGAAGUAAGAAACUUACAUCUCUCCCUGCCUCAUGAGAAACAUUUUGGGGUUCUUCAUAAAUCCCUGGUCACAUAAUAGCUUUUGUAAUUGUAUGAGGCAUGUACGCAGAAAUACAAAUGAAGUAAUGGAAAGGAUAUUUAAUAUCAAUAUCUUAAGUUCCAGACAUGUAUAAACAUUUACAAGACAAACGUUGUCAACUAUUACAAGAAAACAUGAUUGAAAAAUGCAUAUUAAUGACAAUGAGAGAUAAUUGGAUGCUUAGAUUCAUAACCUGCUAUGAAGACAAUGAUCCAUCCAAUGAUGAAAUGGUUAGUGUAGUCUAAUGUUAAGGUUUGACCACAUGACAACUAUAUAUGAUUAUAUUUCAGAUAAUUUACUUCUUUUGAGAGUUUACUGGCAACUGAGCAAAGACUAUAUGUAACCCUAAAUUGACUGAUUACUUAUAAAGAAGUAGCUUUCUGCAGCCAUAUUGAAGAAAGCCUCUAGCAAUAAAUAAAUAAAUAAAACAUGCAGCAAUGAGUAUUGGACAUAUAGAAAACAGACAUUUCUAAAAAUAAGAACUACAAUAUAAUAAAAAUUGCAGAAGUCAUAUAUCAGCCAAAAGCAAACUAGAAAUGAAUGCGCCAAAAAAAAAAAAAAAAAGAACGUCUCAAUCAUCCAAUGAAAACAGAGAAAACCCUAAUACAAAGCCAAAUAAUUAUGAUAUCCUACAAUAGCCAUAAUAAAUAGCAUCUAAGUACAGCCAAAUAGGCUUAACAAAGCUCACUGGGGAAAUAUAUAAUUGUAAAUUGAUCUAACUGAGAGCAAAAGUGCUGAACCUGGUCGGAAAGGCAUCUUACGGAACCUUUCUUCGGCUCCACCGCUUUCGUAAGGAGACAUUCCAUCUUUCAACGUCGCCAUAUGGAAGCUGGAGCUGUCGAGUACAAAAGGGAACGUGAAAAUGAAGAGAGGAAAAAGAGGGAAUGGACUGUCUAUGGAGUAUGGAGUGUGAAAUUGGGGAUUUUAUUUGGGGGAUAACGCCACAAAGCCCUUGAAUUUAGCAAAAUUUAACGGUUUUAUCCCAAAUAUGUUUUUUUUUUUUUUCAUUUUUGACAUUUAUCAGUAAACCAUAGCAUGUUAUGAUUGUUAUCUCAACCUAUGUGGAACCUUGCAUGGGUUGUAUAAGAUGAUCAGGAUGCCAUGUCACACAUCACACCCCUCAUAUGCUUCCUUACAAUCCCAAAUUAAAAGUUCAAAUGAUAAGUUAACAAGACAAAAAGGUCAAGCUUUUCCUCUCGGCAGAAUGUCAAGAUUUUCAAGAAAUUAAGCUUCAAUGGAGGUUCACGAAGCAAAAACAAGAUCGUCGUCAAAUGCAAAGUGAUAAUGGUUGUCUAAUUUGGGUUUCAAGAAUAGGUGUUGUCCUAGUUUUCAAACAUUAAUAUUGUAAUUUUUAUUAAGUCUCCCUAUUUUGUAGGAUCCCGAAGUUGUGAUUUUUUUUCAAAUGAGUUAGACCCAUUGUAAGGUGCUAUUUGUUUUUUCUAAAAAACUACUUUUUUCCACUUAUUGUUGCGCCGCACAGCACACGCGCAUUACUUAACCGUUUGCAGUUGUUUGUUUUUCAGCGAAUUACAAUAUAGGUUGUCCUAUAUUGUAAUUUUUAUUAAGUUCUUAUUAUUUUUUUAGUGAAUAACCUCCCUAUUUUGUAGGUUCCCGGAGUUAGUUGUGAUUUUUUUUCAAAUGAGUUGACCCCUUGUAAGGUGUUGUUUGUUUUUUUUUCUAAAAAAACCACUUUUGGCCACUAAUUGUUGUGCCGCGCAGCACACGCGUUUCACUUGGCCCUUUGUAGCUGUUUGUUUUUCAGAAGACUUCUGACUUAAAAACUGUUGCGUGUGUGCUGCGUGGCACAACACUUGACCCUCUACUUCAAACCUCUUUACACCUUACUUUAACUUAUUGCAGCAGUCUGCAGAGGUUAAAAAACAAACAGAUUUUUUAUUACAUGUUGCGGCCGUUUGGUCUCCCUCUUCAGCUACAAAGAGUGGCAGAGGUGGUCUGCAUACUUUAGACAUUUUCGCUUCGAAAAAACAAACGACAUCAAAGUCAUUGCAAUGAAUGAAUAGAUGGAAAAAAAAAAAGUUCAAGAAAGUUCCUAACUAAGCCACAAUAAAAGUAUAUGUUGCAUUUUUUACAGAUUAUUAUAUGGUUGUUGGAGGUAUUUUAUUGAUCAUCAUAUUAGUGAUUUUUAAGUUGUCUUAGACAUUGUUAUGUGUCAUAUAUCUUUUGUAAUUUCUAUAAUGGGAAUGUAAUGUUGAUUAGUAUAUUAUAGAUGAAAUUGUAAUGUAUUUUCUGAAAUGGUAAUGUGUUAUGUCUGUUUUACAUUAAAUGGUAAUGUACUUUGGUUUUUCAUACAAAUGGUAAUGUACUUUUCUUUUGUAAUACAUGAAAUGUCAAUGUACAUUCCCAAGUAGGGCUAAUGAAGGAUACAACCAUCCUACUUUGUUUGUUUUACAUGAAAUAAUAUUGUAUGUUGGUUUGCAAAAUAUGAAAUGGUGGUAUACUUUUCUAAAUGGUAAUGAACUAAAGGAAAUGGUACUUUACAUCCAAUUAUACUUUGGUGGGGUUAACCAUUAUAUAAUGUUUAAUAACAUUACAAGGAAUAACAUUUCAGUAUAUGGAAUGUAUUUUCCUAAAAUGGUAAUGAACUAAAAAAGGAAUAAAAAUUAACCAAAUAAACAUUCAAAACAAUGUAAUAAUGUUAACAGGGUUAACUAUUACAUAAGUUUUAAUGUGGCUAACAUGUACCACCCGUCCAGUUGUACCAAAUGUCGAAAUAAUUAUAUUUCCAAAAAAGGAAACCAAAUGGUAACAAAAAACAAGUGGAUACAUGUUGCCCUUAGUGGAUGUAAUAAAAAUAUAAACCAAACCAGAGCUAGCUAAACAUAUGCCAAAGUAAACUCUUAUAACUGUAACAUCCUAAUUAUAUGGCUCAAAGUUUUGGUUGGUUAUAUGGAAAUACAAAUAACAUAAAAUGGAUUAUUUAAAUACGGGUUUAUAGAAAAUUGAUUGUUUUAGCAUUUUUAGAUACUUAUAUUAAUUAAGAAGGGUAUUUUUGUAAUUCAAAUCAAAUGACACUUCGUUACUUGUUGCUCCAGGUCUAGGAGAAAUUAGGUAAAUUGGUAAUUCCAAAAUUAAUAUUAUUUUAAGGUUAAUUUUUAUUAGUUUAUAAAUGAAACUGAUAUUAGGAAAUGUUCAUUUGUAGUAAGGUCAUAAUUAAGUGCCAAUACCUAGUAGUUAGUGUGACAUCCCCAUUUUAGUAGUUAGUGUGAGAUUUCCAAUUUCACAAUCAGAAAAGACCUUUUUAUUUAUGCUUAUUUCAUAAAGAGAGUCUUCUUUAUAUAGCGGAAUUUGUCAUGUAAAAAGUAUUUUCGAAGAAAUGUUGUUCAUUGAUUAUUAAAACUUGAGAUAUCAUAACUGAUACAAGAAACAUAAGCAUAAAUGUAAUUAUUAUUGGUCUUACAAUAUCUAAUGGCCUACAUUUCCUGUAAUCUAUCAUUAGAUCCAAACAUCAUAUACCUUCGUAUCGAUACCUGUGAGACAAAGAAACUAAGGUGUUGUUUGUUUUUCUAUAAAAACCUCUUCAAACCACUUAUUGCUGCGCAGCGCAGCGCACGCGCAGCACUUUUCCUCUCGCAACAGUUUGUUUUUUGGAAGACUUCAGACUACAAAACCUCUGCGUGUGUGUUGCGUGGCGCAACACUUGAUUUGCCUCUUCUAACCUCUUCAGCUUUCAUUUUUUCUAAGUGUUUUUUUAAGAAUUUUUGUAUAACCUUUUUUUAAAUUUUUUUUUAAAACUUUGAUUUUCUUAAAUUUUUAUUUACGGAUGUGACACAAUUUAUUUUUAUAAUUUCCACGAUUUUUAUUAACAUGAUUUUUUUAAUUUUUUUUACCGUUUUAUUAAUAAUAUUUUCAAUUUCAAUUGUAUCUUUUUUAACGUGUGUAAUUUUUUACGAACUUUGUAAUGUUUGCAAUACUUUCUUAAUUUUUUUAUUAUUUUCUUUUUUAAUGUUUUUUAAAAUUAGUUUUUUUUCUAGAAUAAAGCUAUUAGCUUCUUUUACAUUUUUUAAAGUUUUUUUUAAAAAAAAAAGUUUUAUAUUUUUGUUUUUUUACAUGUUCUUUUUAUUAUUAUUUCAAUGUUUUAAAACUAGAAUUAUUAAAUUUCGGUGUUGAGAACUAUUUUCAGUUUAUAAAAUUAGUUUAUUUAAAUUUCAGUUUACUGCAGCAGUCUAUUUUAAAAAACAAACAUGCUUCUUAUUAUAGGCUGCAGCCGUUUGUUCCACCUCUUCUGCUACAGAGGAUUGCAGAGGUGGUCCGCAGACUUCAUGAAUUUUCGCUUCGAAAAAACAAACAGCACCUAAGUGAGUCGGGUUGGAAAACUUGGUGAGUACAUAGGGUUUUCAACCCACAAUAACAUAAUUAAUAUGUUUAAUUAUCAAAUAGUUAACCCGAUUACCCAUCCUCAUUUUCAUCAUUUUUUUUAUUCUUAAGAACCUACCCUAAGGAUCAUCAUAAUCAUCGUUGCUGACAAUAUUGUUUCAGGGAUUUCUCUGCAAUACAUGUCAAUAGGUUUUCUUUUAUAUUCACUCCUAAGGUUCUAUCCUAAGGAUCAUCAUAAUCAUCAUUGCUGACAGUACUGUUUCAGGGAUUUCUCCGCAAUACAGGUCAGCAGGUUUUCUUUUAUAUUAUAUCCUAAGGAUUAUCAUAAUCAUCGUUGUUGACAGUACUGUUUCAGGGGUUUCUCCACAAUACAUGUCAGUAGAAACUGGAGUACAUCAAAUGAGCACAUAGUCCAUCACCUACAGGUUAUAAACCUCCCCGUGUUCCACAAGACUGUCUUGAAUAGUCUGAUGGUUGUCAUCUAUACUCUGUUAGUGUAACAUCCCAAAAUUUAUGAGUAAAAAAUUUCUUUUAAAUCGAUCAAAUAGCCAUUCGUUUAGUUUGGAAACCAAUCAUAGUGUAAAAUAUGACAUACAAUUAUCAUAGUACAUAUCAAUCAAAUCAUGUGGAAUACUGGUGGAUGUGGUACAAUCACGUCGAUCCCUUCCCUUUAGAACCGGAAAAACCUAAAAACCAUAAACAAAAACCGUAAGCACAAAGCUACUGAGUUCCAUAAAAUAUCACAUACCAUACAUACAUAUUAGCUCGAAGUUGUAACGGGUCUAUUUCACCCCUGAGUCUAUUUCAAGUCAAUCGGUGUUUUUCAACCAAACGGGUCUAUUUCACCCCUAUAUACAUAUAACAUACAAGCAUAUCAGUAAGAGUCACAAAUACAACAAGUACAUAAUAAACGGAUCUAUUUCGCCCCACAUAAAUAAGCAUGCGGUCAUAUCAACCAAAGUCACAAAGAUUGCUAGCUUCCUAUACACAUAAUUCAGUGGCCGACGUUGGUGUCUUUGACCCACGAGUAUAGUGAAGAGACUCACAUCUCAGUCGAGACUCAGUUGAUGCUGCUCUCACUGCCAGAAAUACCAAUGAUAUGCACCUCCUAUACCAUUACACAAGGUAAGCCCUUAGCUCUUCAUCCAAGACUAGGAGUUUGACCAAAAGUCAAAUCAAGUCAAAGGCAAUGGUCGAUGCUGACUUUAGUCAACCGCCACGUUGUUGCCAUCCAUGGACAUGUCGUUGCCUUCAUACAUUAAGACAGUUGGGUGUUUCCCAAUUGCCAUGUCGUGGCGACCUAAGGUCAUGUCGUGGGAACUGGGUUCCCAACAACUUAAUGGGUUAAGUGUUGGAUUAGUGUCUGAGUCCAUAACUAUAUUUGGUAUGUACUUGACCCGGUUGUAGCAUGGUCCUUUUGGGUUGCCUUCACAAAAGCAACUUGACUGGAUGAUUAAUGGAGAAAGAGGUUAUUAUGGUUUAUUAAUAUAUUAUAAGAAUAAUAUAUUAAAAGAGAAAUCAUAUUAGUUAAUUAAUAUUGGUCAAGAAUUAAUUAAGAAAUUAAUUUUGUGAUCAAAAGAGAUUAAUUGAACUUAGGGGACUGGAAUUGCAAUUAUAAGAUAAUUGAAUUUGGGCUAUGGAUCUUAUGGAUUAUAGGGGUGGACGAAAUUAGGGUGGAAGCCCACCUUGAAAUCGUCCAAGGGCCUUAUUCCAAAAGGUUCUUGGGGUUGCUUAGGGCUUAAGUUAUCCAAUUAGGGUUUUGACUGAAACCCUAGCAACUCAACUAUUUAAGGACCCCUAGGGCAUCCAAAAUUGGCGACUAGAAGAACCCUAGAGUCCUUAGAGCCGAUUUUGUGCCUUCAUAUCCUCUCUCCAAGAUUAUCCUUUUUGCCUUGGUGUUUGUGAUCGAUUAGAGGUAUUACAUUUGUGAUAUUAGGCUCUCAAAGCUUGAAGAUUCUUGCAAAAAUUAAAAGGUAAUCAUCUAAACUUGUUUUAUAUGUUUUGCUCAAAACCCAUUAUUAAGUUGCUCAAAACCCAUUAUUAAGUUGUUUUCCUCGAUUCUAAGAGCUCCAAAGCUCAUAUCUGGUCCCAAACAUGGUCUAGAAGGAUAAAUUUUCCAACUUUAUCCAUUAAGACCACCCCAAAUGUCAAAAUCCCAAACCCUCGGUCCAUAUAAAGCUAAAUACAAUAAUUUCUUAACCAUUAAGCUCUUAUUCCAAAAAAUUCCUUAACCUAACCACUCCAUAAGAGUUUCCUAUACCAGAUCUAGCAUAAAUGUUUGUGCUUUAAAGACAUAUAUGUCUUGAAGCCAUAUAUAACGACCCAAAUUUUCAAGGAAAAUUUUUAUUUAAAUUAAUAAACACAUUUGCAUAAACCAUGAGAUCCCACGUAUUUGUUUUCAAAACAUCAUUCAUUACAUCAUUAUUUAAAUCAUUAGAGUAUCCCUAAACAUAUCAGUGAAAGAGAGAUAGAGUGCACGUCGCGCCAUCACGCCUUGCCCUUGCCCUUGGGCUCGGAUGUACCUGAAACAAAUCAACAACCUAUAAGCGAAAUGCUUAGUGAGUUCCCCAGAGCAUACCACACACCACACAUACACAUAUCCUAGUAGCUAAUUAAAGCUACACACAUAUCACAUAAGUCAUGCAUACAUAAAACCUGCAAGAAUGUCAUGGGCUACCCCACAUGGUCUUUACCUAGGACUGUCAUGGGCUACCCCACAUGGUCUUACAUCCAAUGUCACGGGCUCCCCCUAGGGUCUUCAUGCAAAACACAUAAUCACAUAUCAUAGCAGAUCACAAAAUGUCUAACACAUAUACUAUAAUCACAUAAUGGGCCGGCCUUGGUGCCUUAGACCCAUGGGUAUGGUGAGAAGACUCACCUCAGUCUGCUGAACACAAAAGCUGCUCUCCUAACAGUCUGUAACCUCUCGUGUUGGACAAAUAAUAUUAAUCAAUGUUAGGACCUUAAAUUAAUCAAGGAAAACCCAAUCCCAAAUCCUUCCAUGAGGCCUAAUUAUCCUUCCCUUGCUAAUGGGCCCAAAAUCAUAGUCCAAAAUUAUUAAUGGGCCUCUUGGCCCAAUAAGGCCCAACAAAGUAUCCAUGGCCCAUAACAGAAGAAAUAGACCACAGUUCACAGAAUGCAACCAACCCAUUAACCAAAAUGAAGCCCAAAAGUACAAAGGCCCAAAACAAAUCCGACCCAAUCUGCAGCACAUACGCUCGGUGUACCAUUAUGGUACGCGCAGCAUACUGGGGUCUUAAGGACUACGCGCAUCGUACAUUGAGUGCUUAAUACUCGAUUCCUUUACGUCCAAAAGCCAGAUCUGAGUUGAUUAAUACGUCCUAAGGCAUAAAUUUGCCAACUUUAUGCUUUUGCAUGCCUCACAUACACCCAAAAACCUUCAUUAAGACCUUUCCAAGGUCCUUAACCCAUGCAUGAGACCAAUACUUCCACCAAGACUCCAUUUUUAUACUUCAAAACCACCAAGGGACCUCAGAUCUGCCAUUCUCCUCUCAUGGAGUUACUUAACUCGCCAAAAGAGGUCUAAAAUCCAACAAAGGGACCAAACUAGAAAACCUUAGCUAGAUUUAAAGAUUUAAAUGGAAAGGUACAAGCUUUUUACCUCCAGAAGCCUUGCAAGAUGACCCAAAAGCAGAUUCUUGAAGCACCCAAUUGAUCCAAGCUUGCUUAACAACUCUCCUUCUUGAAAGAACUCCAAAAUAACCACCAAAACCCUCUUCUUAGGCUCCCACUCUCACUCACACACUAACUCAGCUGUAGGACCACGAAAUGGGGCUAAAGAGACUAAUAGGGUUUGGUCCAAGAGGCCAAAAGACGUUUAAAUAGGGAACAAGUAUGAGAUUUAGGGUUUUGACCCUCUGAUGCGUACGCUCAACGUACCCUCACGUACGCCCAGCGUACGUGAGGCUCCUCCGCGAUCAAUCAGGCAGAGUACGCUAAGCGUAGCCAUAGGUACGCCCAACGUACUCAAGGAACCAAAUAUGCAAAAUAUGAAUUCUUUAGGGUCUUAAGACAUACCGAUUUUUUGGGUGUUACACCAUAAUGGGUCCAAAAUAUGGGUUUUUAAUAACAAUCUCAUGCAUGGUUCAAAAACUCAACUAUACUUCAGAUCCAAUCCAAAACCAUUCCAAAUGUUCUAUAGAUUCAUAUGGUUGCAAGCUUUAUGAAGUCACAUCAUUCCAACUAACAAGAACAAGAAUAUUAUGAGCUAAAACCCAAGAUCUAGCAACCUAACAUGAUAAAAAUCGAGUCUUGUUACCAAGGUCCGGAAGAGUGCUAAGGUGAAGAAUGGA
rnacentral:lncRNA from 1 species